AUCCGUGCAGCCUAAUCAGGAUCCAUGCUGUUCGCUAUCAGUUUCUCUACUAAUACGGUUGGUAAGCAAACAGCAUGGAUCCUGAUCAGACUGCGCGGAUGCGCAGGCUGGUCUGGAUCCAUGCUGGUCGCAACGCACUAUGUUGGUUUUGGCGUGACGCGGCUUUUAUAUUAUCACAGAUUGCUUGUAAAAAUUACUGUGCCCUAUACUUUACAAGGCAAUCCUGCACAUAAGCGUUAAAUUAUAUCAGAUAUUUUAUUAAGUAAAAGCUCUCAUAUUGUGCAAAAUUACGGAGAGAAAAAAAAAUUCUUAUCUUUAAAUGAAUAAAAAAAAGAAAUCUUUUAUUUUUAAGGUAUAUAGAUUUGAUAAAAAGAAAUGAUUAUUAGAUAUUUGUUGCUUCACACUAUUAUGUCCUACUUUAAGUAUAGGAAUCAAGAUUUAGUAAGUAGUAAGUAAGUAACAACUUUAUUUAAUGAGGCUAACACAUUCAGUUUCCUGAUCUUCCAUGCGGGCCUCAGUUAAUUUUCUUUUUUCAACAACAGUAAUUCUGUUUUUGAAACAGGGACCAAGAUGCAGCGAAUUCGGAGAGGUUUACGUACAAAUGGCAUCAGCGGUUACAAGAUCUCGAACUCACCACGUCGGCUAUCACUCCUAAUAUGCAGACAACUGUAAAUAUAGGGAGUACAAGCUCAACUAUUAUGUCCCCUAAAACAGAGAGGUCGGAAGAGGAUCCAUAUGAUGUAGCGUCAGAACUUACAGACAUGAUGCAUGACAUAUCAGUGCUAGCAAAGAUAAACCAGAUGGUCUCUACCCUAAAACUUUCCUAUCCAGGUUUGACAGAAGAUAAUUUACAUAGCAUAAUUGCAAAGCUUCUGAUAAUAAGAAAGAGAUACAGAGUAAAGACUAUCAACUUCAGAUGUUAAACUCUAGUACUAUAAUACUUCAGGAUAAAGUCAGGAAGAGGAAGUAUGUGUUCAGUGCAUCCAGUGCUAGUGUGAAACAAGAAUGGUGUGUAGACUUCCUACUGGCAAAAUAUGCUCAAGACAUUAUAAAUAUACCAAGUUGGCAUAGACAAGAU